rnacentral:rRNA from 1 species
AGGACGAACGCUGGCGGCGUGCUUAACACAUGCAAGUGGAGCGACGAACCAGGGCUUGCCCUGGGGCAGAGCCGCGAACGGGUGAGUAACACGUGGGUUACCUGCCUCGAUGACCGGGACAACCCGAGGAAACUCGGGCUAAUACCGGAUGUGCCCGCAAGGGGAAAGGAAGCUUCGGCCUCCACAUCGAGAUGGGCCCGCGGCCCAUUAGCUUGUUGGUGAGGUAACGGCUCACCAAGGCUUCGAUGGGUAGCUGGUCUGAGAGGACGAUCAGCCACACUGGGACUGAGACACGGCCCAGACUCCUACGGGAGGCAGCAGUGGGGAAUCUUGCGCAAUGCGCGAAAGCGUGACGCAGCAACGCCGCGUGGGGGAAGAAGGCUUUCGGGUCGUAAACCCCUUUCAGUUGGGACGAAGCUUCGGCGGUGAAUAGCCGUUCGGAGUGACGGUACCUUCACAAGAAGCACCGGCUAACUACGCGCCAGCAGCCGCGGU